AUUGUAACUCAUGAAAUUCCCAAAUCCACUCCCUCCUUAUUUCUCAAUUUCCAACUCUCUACUCGGUGCUCUCGGCUCUCAAAUCUCCUCCAAAAUCAUGAAGUUUAUAGCUACUAUAAAUCUGCUCGUAUGUAGUCUCUGAACGACCUUGAAGAUCCUACUUCCGGCCUCUUGUCUGGUAAGUGCAGUCACUAUAUAUUUUUGUACAAAAUAAAUAUGUUAUGGUUUUGCCUCUGUUUGAGAACUCACUUUUCUAAAUAUUUGAUCAUAGGUUUAAUUGUGUGGGCAAUGUGUUUGACGUAAUGACUUUGAGAAGAGUCGUUUAUUAUGUAUGGUUUGAUUGUGAUUUGAAUUUAUGGUAAUUGUAUGGAGGCUGAAAGUAACGAUUGGUUUCUUCCUGAUGAAAUGAAAUAAUGUCCUAGUAAAUUUUUUGAAAUAAGGUUGAGAUGACAACGAAAAAAAAUCGAAACAUGUGUUUAUGGACGCAAUGAUUUAAAUUUUGGGAUUUCUAUUCUCAUAUUCACCAUUGAAACAAGAUUCAGAGGAGAUGAAUCAUAGGACUAAUUAUAGCCAGAAGAAUAGUGCUUAUGUAUGUGAAUUCGAUGAAUGACUGGCAUGAAGAUCUUUUAAGUACCAAUAUAUCAAAUUUGAAUAAUUUGUAGGCAACAAUAACUUUAAAGCAGUCGGAAAUCCAACGCUUGUAUCUAAGAAUUACUUUGAUUAGUAUUUGCAUAUCUUUAGGCCAGUGGCUCCCAAAAUUGGCAUCUAAUCUGGAUACAGCUGGGAAUUCUCUCCGAAGGGAAGUUGUAAGAACAAUCAAGAAAAACAAAUUAUAACAAAGUGGACAAUACUGCUGGUAAACGACUUUCACAUUUUCUUUCAUAAGACUUUUCCAUCCAAUAAACAUUCAUAAGUGCUCUUUGAUAUAUGUCUUCAACAUAAGUGGAUAACUAUCUUUUGAAGUUCUGUUGAUAACCAUAAUGGUUAAUUGGAAAUUAGUUCAAUUACAUCAUUUCAAAUAUAAACGUUAUCUAUUAUAGAGAAGUGUUACAAUGACACAUAAAGAAACCAACACUUAUGUUUUUGGCCAUCAAUAUUAAUAGAUAAUAAGCAUUCAAAUUAAGGGACAGUUAACAAACAUUGGUCAAUAAGACUUUUUAGCCACUAUUUAGUCCCUGCUAAUAUUUUGACCAAUGGUUUAUUUGAACUUUUAGUUGGUUUCUAUAAUGCACUAAUUUUUUCUAAUUAGUAAAUCUAACAAAGAAUGAACAAGAGGAAAAGGAAAAAAAAAAAGAAGAUAAAAAUAAGCAACUUACUUCCCUCAGCAGACAAAUAUAUGGUCUCUUUGAGUAAUUUUCAUUUCAAUAUAAGUGGAAAUUUGUUCUUAAUUGGAAAUUACAUAAUUGGAUAACCAUAAACAUUCAUAAGUUGUUAAUUGGAAAUUUCUCCAAGGUGUGUUGUAGUUGCCUCCCAAAAAUAUUAAAAUCUUGGAAUUCUUCCUCCCAAACUCAUUUCAAGAAUGAUGCUUUUAAUUUGUAGAACUUUUCUCUGGCAAAUGGUUACCCAAUAUUUGCUGGCACACUAAUCUUCCCUUAAGGCUUAAAUUCUAGGCUAUGUGGUUACCCUGAACAACAUAAGGAUCCAAAUAAUUUUCGUACUAAAUUUUAUAUUAAAAUUAUCUUCUUUCUAAUCCUUUUGCUUGUGCAUGUAUCUAAAUAUAAACUGACAUGUUUUAUUCUCCGAGGAAUAAGGGAUUGGUGCAUAAUUAGUCAAUUGUGCAAAAGCAUCUCGAUAAUUGUUGAAGUUGUUCUCUUUUAGUCACAAUUGUGAUAAAUUAUAGAGUGGUUCAGUUAUCUAGGUCUAACUUAUUCUGGUUGAACAUAUGUUUACUUGGAGAUAUUUGACUAAAUGCUUCCUAUGUAAGGUGUUUCAUUAUGAUUAAGCAGAAAAAAUAGUGUUUUUCUGUAUAACCAUUUAACAGUGGAAAAAAAAAAGUAUGUUAUAAUAGGUUAUAUCUUAAUAGUGUUGGUAUAAUAUCAUGGAUAAAGAUUGGGUACACCAAUCAAGAUUAUCUUAUCUCCUUAAGUUUAGAAUGUUUUUAAAUAUGUUCGUAUACACUUUUAGAUGAUUUACUUAGUGUUUUAUUAUAGAGUUUUGGAGGCAUAUCAACACGGUGUAAGAAGGUUUGCAAAUAUGGUGCAAGCCAAUGUAUGGAAUUCAGAAAAGAUCAUAUGCCCUUGCAAAUGUUGCAAAAACCUAUUUUACCAACAUUUUGAUACAAUGGGUGGGCAUUUGAUCAUUCAUGGGAUGGAUCUUACUUAUACUACGUGGGUGUUUCAUGGCGAAAAACCGAAUACAUCAUUGCCUCAUCAAGAUGUAGAAAAUUUUGAGACAUAUAGGAUGCAUUUCUUCAAGAUGACAAUAACAUAGAACCUGAGAAUGAAAGUCAAAAGAAAGAAUUUUCUAAUUUAUACGAGGGAGUUGAAAUUUCUUUAUAUCCCGAUUCUACAAAGUAUACAAGAGUAUCUGCAAUCGUUGUAUUAUACAAGCUUAAAACUACUCAUGGUAUAUCUGAUAAUGGUUUCAAUGAACUUCUUGAAAUAAUUUGAGACAUGCUACCGAUCACUCUUUCCUAUUCCUGUAAUUCAACAAAAAGGUUAUUGAAAACCUUUAAUUUGGGAUAUGAGAAGAUACAUGCAUGCGUAAAGGAUUGUUGUUUGUUUAAAAAGGAUCUAAAGGAUUUGGAGACAUGUCCAAAAUGUGCAUCUUCACAUUGGAAAGUUAAUUAACAGACUAAAAGGAUUCAAAAGGGAAUACCUGCAAAAGUUUUACGAUGUUUUCUAAUUAUACCUCUAUUUAGAAGAAUGUUUAGGUCACCUGACAUGGCAGAACAACUAAUAUGGCACUUAACUUACAAAAGUCAAGAUGGAAAAAUGCGUCAUCCUAUUGAUUCAUUAGCUUGGGAGAGAAUUGAUCAAAAAUAGCCUUCUUUUGCAUCAGAACCACGAAAUCUUAGGCUUGGCCUUUUGUCCAAUGGAUUUAAUCCUUUUGGUGAACUAAGGUCAGGUAUAGUUGUUGGCCGAUGAUUUUAGUUAUAUAUAAUCUACCUCCUUGGAUAUGCAUGUCCAAGGAAAAUUUAUUAUUGACUUUGUUAAUCCCAAGUCCAAAGCAACCUGGAAUGAUAUAGAUGUAUAUCUAAAACCACUUAUAGAAGACUUAAAGGAGUUGUGGAAUACUGGUGUUGAAAUAUAUGAUGGCUUUACCAAGUCUAUCUUCAAUUUGAAGGCUGUAUUUAUCUGGAAAAUUAAUGAUUUUUCGGCUAAUGGAAACUUAUCUGGAUAUCCCACAAAGGGCGAGGUGGCAUGUCCUGUAUGUGGUUUAUCCAUAUGUGCAAAAUGGUUGACAUAUAGUUGAAAGUUCGCAUAUUUGGGUCAUAGAAGAUUUCUUUCAUAUAAUCAUACUUUUCAAUCGAAAGAAGUUUGGUUUAAUGGAAAUAAGUAUCACAGGCCCAAUCCAAAAAUAUUAACUGGUCGAGAAGUAAUGUAUUCAAUAAAGAAUGUUAGCAAUGAUUAGGGGGAAAAAGGAAAAAAGGAAAUAGAAAAAACUAGUUACCCAUUGGCCAUGGAAAAGGAAAUCAAUAUUCUUUGAUCUACCGUAUUGGGAGGUUAGUUGUUCAAACUACUUGAAUUUAGUUAUCUUUUUGCAUAACUUUUUUUUCUAAAUUUAUAUCAUUAUUUUCAGAUACUACUUUUACGUCAUAAUUUGGACAAUUCUAUUUCUACUUGAAUAGAAUUUACAACGGAGUUUACAAACUCUCAACAAAAAACCUCUCAAAGAGUCUCUCUGCACAUUGAGAAGAAUGUUUGUGAGAGCAUACUUGGCACUAUUCUGAAUAUGAAAGGAAAAUCAAAAGAUGGGCUCAAUUUUCGUAAGGAUUUGGUUAUUAUGGGUAUUAGAAAGAAUCUUCAUCCAGAGUUGAAAGAAAAUACAUAUUACCUAUCCGCAGCAUCAUACAUGCUAUCCAAAAGAGAGAUAGAGUUAUUUUGUAAGAGAUUAUUUGAUUUAAGAUUACCCGAUGGUUAUAGCUCUAACAUUUCAAAGUGUAUCUCAAUAACAGAUAAUAGGAUUUUAAAUAUAAAGUCUCAUCAUUGUCACGUGCUCAUACAACAAUUGUUAUCCAUUGCAUUAAGAGGACUUUUACCUAGAAGACCAAGAAAUGCAAUUUUUCGACUAUGUGCAUUUUUUAACAAAAUAUGUCAAAGAGUUAUUGAUAAAAAUAAUUUAGAAAAGUUUGAGGAGGAUGUUGCUGUGACUUUAUGUAUGCUUGAAAGGUAUUCCCUCCCUUUUUUUUUUUUGACAUAAUGAUUCAUUUAACCAUUCACCUUGGGCGUGAGGUUCAUAUUGGCGGACUGUACAAUAUCAUUGGAUGUGCCCAUUUGAGAGGUAACUUACCAUUAUACUUCUGUACUUAUUCAACCUUUCUUCUUCUAGUUUUUUAGGUCUCUCAUGCAUAUUAUGUGUGAAUUAGGUUUAUGAAGACACUUAAAGAAUAUGUUACAAAUCGUUCAAGACCUGAGGGCUGCAUAGUAGAAUGUUAUUUAGCCGAUGAAUGUAUGCAUUUUUGUAAUGCUUACAUGAAACAAGCUGCUGAGGUAGGAGUUUGACAUAAUCAAAAUGAGGAUUUCGAGAAUGAUACAACUAUUGAUGGACGUACAAUUUCUAAAGGAAAGUCAAAGAUUUUGAGUCAAGAAAUGUUAGAGGUUACUCAUCGAUACGUGUUGUUUAACAGUGUAGAAAUUGAACUAUAUAUAAUGUAAUCAAGUUAGUUAAUAAGUUAGUUUUACAUCGAUUAAUAUUUUCUCAUAAACUUGUAUUACUAUUUAUUUAUUUUAUUUUAUUUAUUUAGAUAAUCGUGCUGCCAAGAAUGAAACCUUAUUACAAAUGAAACAUAUGGAGACUUUCACUUCUUGGUUUGCAGAAAAAGACAAAGAAGACAAUUGUAACAUGUCAAGUAUAUUGAAAUGGCUUGCACGACGACCUAGAUGUGAGGUGAUGUCACAUUCUGGUUAUGUUGUCAAUGGACAUUGAUUUCAUACAACCAAUGUUAGUAGAAGUACACAAAAUAGUGGUGUUUCUAUUGAGGCACAAACUAUUUAUUGAUCUAGUGUGAAGGAUACAAGUCAUGUAGUUGGUAAAAUUUCGUAUUAUGGUGUUAUAAAAGAUAUAAUUCUACUAGACUAUCAUAGUUUUAAAGUUCCUAUAUUUCAUUGUGAUUGGGCAAAUAUAGAUAGCGGAGUCAAGAUUGAAGAAGGGUUUACAUUGGUAAAUCUUCAUAGAGGACAACAUCAAUUUGAAAGAGAUCCAUUUAUUUUAGCAUCACAAGCGAAAUAAGUUUUUUAUUCUAGAGAAAGUGAUACGUCUAGUUGGUAUAUUGUAUUGAAGGCGCCUCCUAGAGGAUUUCAUGAGUCAGAAAAUUUUGAUGAUGAUGCUUAUACUCCUUCCACGUUAGCUGCAUCAUCAAGACUUGAUAUGACUGUUGAAGAUGAAAGUUACGUGAGAUAUGACUUUGAGGGCAUUGAUAUUGAAUAUGGUAAUUGUGUAGAUUUAAGAUUCUUUCUUUCUUGCAUUAUUUUUAUUGAUAUUACAUUUAUGUUAAUGUCUCUAAUUCUAUUCUUUCUUAAUUUAUUUAUGUAGAUACAAAUGAUGAAAGCUGACUUUUGUGGAAACUGAUGUGUAAAAUGAUUGGACAUAAUAUUUCAAAUCUUGGCGAAGUAAGUUACGAGGUUGUGUAUAAGGGUUUUAAAUGUUUUCAUGUUGAAUUUAAGCAAAAAAUGUCUUUUUCUUUUUUGUGCAAUCCAGUCAUCUACUCAGGGCUACAAGAAAUCAAAACGAGCUAAAAAAGCUUUAGUUGUUGCUGCAACAAGAGAAGGAAAUGAAGGCAUAAGAAUAUCAGAGAGAGGUUCUAAUUCUGUACAACAUGAUGCAGAAGUCUUACCAAAUAGCAUCAGUACUAUUGAAAAAGGAAAGAAAGGAAGGGGUCGAGCAAAGUUGAACUAUCUCAACAACGGAAAAUGAGCAAAGUUAACUGUAAAAUUUAAUGAAAGAAGGUAACCAAUUUGUAAAGGAUCAAAUAAAUUAUCGUCGUUCCUUGAAACGACAGCUAGGGAACUUGUACCUAUUAUAAAGAAAGGUUGGUAAGAUUUCAACGAAAGUUUUCUUGAUGACAUACGGGUGCUUGUGUAGGUGAUGUAAACUUGACAUCACAUAUAGUGUAAAUUAAAUUACUAUUAAUCUUGUAUCUUUUGAUGCAGCAAAGGUUUGAUAUUCACAUUUCUCAUAGAAAGUACAUUAUGCAAAAAUUGGGAAAGAGUUGGAGAGAUCAUUGAUCUAAUGUGCUAAAAACAAUCAGUAACAAAGAAAGAACAAUUGGCAUGACACGAGCUGCUGCUCUUCUCAAGCCAAAUAAUGUUGACUCAAUGGAAGAAUGACAAGCAUUUGUCAAAGAACACUAUUCUCAACCAUAUAAGGUAUGUUCCAUUGCUCUUAUUUACUGAAUGUGCAUGAUAUAAGUUACUAUGGGCAAACCAGAUGAAUAUCCUUUUAUAUUUGUGAAUGGUAAUGAUUGUAAUGAUGUUAUCUACCCUUUCUAUAAUGAGCUAAGUUGUUAGAUGAUGACUUCAUAUAGGUUGCUAGCUCUCCUUGCUACUUUCACUUCCAUUAGCAAAAAGGAAAGUAUAUCACUAUCCAUAAUGUUGUGUUUUUAUAAUAUAUUUUUUUUAAAUUUUGCAGGAAAAGAAUGAUAUGUUCAAAAAGAUGACAGCUAGUCAAACUAUGUUACACACAAUGAGUAGAAAAGGCUUUCCCCGCUUAGAAGCAGAAAUGGUAAACUUUAUGUUACAUUAUAAGUUAAAUUUGCUUGAAAAUUUGUCAAUGUGUACAAACUAUCAUGUAUUAGAAAUGGGUAAAACAAAUUGUAGCGUGUUGAAAGUGAAAAACCCUGAUUCCAUUAUGAGAGAUGAUAUUUAUAUUCGACGACAUACGCGAAAAAAUGGUGAAUCAAUUAAUGAAUCAAUUGGAAAAACAUUGGUAACAAUAUUGUUCUUUGAAUUUCUUUUCUGGUAAUUCAAAGUUUAUAUUUGCAUUACUUUAAUCCAUUAAUAUAUUUCCUG
rnacentral:lncRNA from 1 species